CAAGCAUUUCGGGGACAAAUUUUAUCAAAUUUAUUCCAGUGCCAGUUUGAUAGACCCCUGCUACUUCACUAGUACAUGGGCUAUCCCCCAGGCAGACCCUUGCACUACCUGGCUGCCGAUGAGACGCCUAGUCUCAUCACCUAAGUGGAGAACCCUCGCUUCACAUUCCCCGGCUGGCGCAUUGUCGGGCAGGCAGGUUCUUCCUUACACUGAAAGUUGCAAGCUGACUUGCUCAGACAGGAACUCAAAAUUCCGUUUGUAUGCUGAGUGUUUCUCAAGGGCCAAAAUUAAAUGAUUUUUUAAUAAAUAUUAUUAUUUAUUCUAACUGUCUUUCUGCUUUAAGCCAGUAUGAUUUGCUGAGACUAUGUUUUGGUUUACACACAGAAACCCCUUAUAUUUGCCUUGUUUGCAUUUUGUUUUGGAGCAGUUAUUUGGUCUUUUUUGCUCAUUUAUGUGGGCUAGCUAUCAAAUUGCCAUGCUGACUUUAAUUGAGAUUUGCUAUAUCAGGAUCCCUCAACAGUUACACUAACAAAAGAUUACACAACCUCCUACUGAAACUACAGAAAUAAUAUUCCCACUAUGAGACUACAAGAAAUAUAUAAU
rnacentral:lncRNA from 1 species